rnacentral:lncRNA from 1 species
GGGUUUCAUACUAGAUCAACCACAGUUGCACAUCUUGAUAGUACGAUCUAGUUUAAGUUUGAUACAAAAGUAGUGAAAGUCAUAUAUUAAGGUUUUAAAUUGCUUAAUUCACCCCUCCCCUCUUAGACUAUGAGCACCGAUUUCUUACAUUCUCGAAUGUGUGGCUCAUGGUAAUGAAACAUCAACAACGUAUUCUUUCCGGUGGACAAAACAAACCAAGUUGUUUAAGGCCAAAUCUACAUCGAUUUGAUUAGGCUUGCCACUGGGGAAGGCAUGUGUAGAACAUUAUAUACCAUUAGAAAUGGGGAGAGUAGAGUAUGGGGAGGGUACAAUUUAUCUAUUGGAUAUGUAUAUAUAUGUAGCACAAAGUUAAUUGUCCAUUGGAUAUGGGUGGGAUUGGGGAAGGCAAGAAGUGGAUAAUAAUUAUUUGAAUUUGGGUGCGAGGUGUACACACGGUGGCAGACUUACAUUUGAUACUUCCUAGGAGAAGUGUAAUAUCUCCCUUUUCUUUGACUUACAUUUGAUGCUUCCUAGGAGA